UGCUCAUAUUGGAUUGCUGUCAUGGAAACAGUCAACGUAGCAUGGUGGAUGAAAUGGUUCACUGAAUUUCAUUCUACCUGUGGGAACGUCCUUCCUACUGUAUAGGCCAAAUGUUCAUUCUACCAUCUCUCGUUUCAUCUUGCAAUCAGUAAUUAAGAAACUGCAAUGAAAUGCAAAGGUAUUCUCAACAAAUCCCUGUGCUAAACAUGGGGCUAACGCAAGACACAACUUAACUGAGGGAUUGGCAUAAACAGAUGAACGUUCCAGGUGCCCGGUCACCUAUGGGAAAAGAAGACUGCAUAGCAAAGCAGAAUGAAGAAAACCCCAAUUGAAGAGGGUCCGAUCACAAAGGAUGGAGAUUUGUUUCAAUUGCGAGAAAGGAAGCUACAGAUCCCAGCAAUCUGCGGAAUACUCAGCAGUCAAGCAACGCAAGUGUAACAGGAAACAGAGUUACCAAUUUAUGUCCGAUGGAAUAAUUUUUCACUUCACUGAAAAGUGGUCAUUCUAUGGUUACACUUGCAUCACAAUUUCUCGACUACCAAGAGACUGUCAAAUAGAAUCAGCUUAUGAAAGAAGAAUCUCAGAGAUGCAUACAGCAUACAUACUUUGAUAAAUAAAUGAACCUUUGAAGAAGUGAAAAGCUAAGGGAGCAACGCCAAACCAACUGAUGGCAGCGACUGUAAAUUUGGAACAAUGGGCGGCUGCCCUCUCAACCAGCACCAAGCGACAAAUCACUUGCACCAAAGUCACCCAGAAUUUGGGUGUAGCUGCAACAAUAGUCUGAACAGCAUCAGACAAGCCCAAACCGUUCUCCCCUUUACCAUGGGCGAGUACAUUAAUUGCUCGGUGGUUCUCUAAAAACAUGACAGCAGCUGAAUCAGCUAUACAUGACACUGUGCACCAUCUGCAUCAGGCAAAGCUUGUGGAAAUAUCACUGCAUUUUAAAUCAGGGUUUGCCUGAAAUAACUGAUAUCAGCUCAAAGAAGAUCCUUGGAAAUGCCACAGCCUGUGCAAACGAACACACCAAAAUAAAAAAAGACUGCACCAAUCUGGCCUGGCCAUGACCUUAGAAACUCAAGGGUUUAACGUGCAGUGGGAAUUUACUAAAUAAAAGGAUUUAAGAAUAGAAGUGCAGAGUACUAGUUGUAAGUGUAUUACAAACUGCCAUCUGGUGUAAUCUAAUUUAUCAAAGUCUUCAGCUUGAAAAACCUGCCAAUUAUUAAGGAUUCUUAAAAUGAUGGACUGUACAAGCUAUUAGGAUGUUGAAAAGAACGUCCACUUAAAAUUUCGACUCAUGUUGACAUUUUACUAAAAUUAACAAAAAAAAAUACACAGAACUGAGAACUGAAUUGGACUGUGUGGUGGCUUCAGAGAGUUGAUACAACUUUCAAUCCAGUCCCAGUUGAUGAGUCCAAUCAUCUUUCACGAAUUGGGCUUGAUCAGUUUUGAAAUGGGAAGGAGUUGUCCCACUAAACAGUCUCUAUUUGAGCACUGAAAAGCUUGUACUAGAUGUGAGAACAAACAAAUUGAAUUAUGUAGACGGCAGAGCUUCUCCAACACAGAUAGAAACAAGUUGCUGAAACAGCGAGACAACAGCAAGACAGUUUGAUUGCACCUUUGAUUCAUCAAAUCUCAUCUGAAUUCUGGUGCUGGGAGCCUGAUAAACUCCGAGUCCCCAUCCCCGUCACCCUCUGUGGUAGCAGAGAGAGAGUAAAAGAUAAUUAGGAGGCUAAAAUAUUGAACUUCUGAAAACAACCAAGAAUAUUGCAUUAUUCAAUGGGAUAAACAGUGAUUUUUAACUUCUGUACAGAUCAUUGUCUCUGCAGAAACAGAAAUAUAUUUGUGGGAAAUAAAAACAAAUCUUAAGGGGACAUGAGCUUCUGCAGAUGCUGGAAAUCUUGAGCGACACACGUAAAGAGCUAGAGCAGGGGUCGGCAACCCGCGGCUCUUUCAUCUCUGUGCUGCGGCUCCCUGUGGUUUGUUAGUUUUUGAAAUGUAAUUCGAAAUUUUAAGAUUAUGAUGAUCUUGUACAAUCUAAAAAUGUUGUGAGACCCCAUUUCCUGGCACAUCCGAACCGGCUCACAAUUAGCCACCAUUCCGGCUAAGGGAGAUAGCCUACGGGGGUUUGUGAGUACGUGUCUUUUGGAGCAUCCGCGCCCAUGGGGACGGGUUGAGGGAGGCUUUAAAGCAAGGCUGUUUAGUUCGAAUAAAGUUACCUUUGACUGCAGUGUCUUUAUUUUAGCGCUGCGUGUAGCACACCGCUACAACGUGUUUUUUAUCGCUAUUAAUAUACAUCGCCACUGCCAAUGCCUGACACCCGCCAGUGCGCGCUUUCUUUUAAUUCUUCGAUCCAAGGUAGGCUAACUAUGGAGUAACCUUCAACCCAAUGUCUUUUUUUCGGAGUUCAAAAUGUUUUUGUUGCAUGCAGAAAUGUAAUUUCGUUUUCUCUGCAGGAGUUCAUCAAUUUCAUAAAUGCAACACAUUAUAGUUUGUUUAUACAUAGCAUAAAGGCAAAAUAAAAAACCCGUUGUAUGCAGUGUUAUUUCAUUUUAAAUGUCAAACGGGUUUUG